UAUUCCUGUAACAACAGUUGCUUCAGAAUAAAUUUUUAGCACUAGUGGGAGAAUUAUAAGCCCGAGUCACAGCAGACUUGCUCCAAAAAUGGUGGAAGCAUUAAUGUGUAUGCAAGCUUGGUCACAUGCUGAAAUGUUAGGGCCUGAGUCUCCUGUUAUGAAUGCAUUGCUGACAUGUCUUGAUGAUGAUGAUGAAGAAAUGGAUGCACCUGGGUUGGACAUUAUUGAUUGAUGCUUGCCCAUGGGAGCAAUCUGAUGUGGUGGUUCUGCAUGCUGACCUGCUGGGAGUGUUAUCAUGGUGCUGCUGAAUUACUUGUGAACUUGAAAUAAAAUGACUAUACUAGUUAUCCCUAUGUGGCUAUGUUAAUUGUUCAACGUAUUGUAACACUUAAUUGUUGAUUUGUGGUGCUACUACUAUGCUGAAUUGUGAUUUGUGACCUUGAACUUAUGGAUUUAUUGUUAGCUUCAUCUUA